rnacentral:rRNA from 1 species
CGACGUGAGGGAACCUGCCUUUCAGAGGGGGACAACAGUUGGAAACGACUGCUAAUACCGCAUAACACAUAGGUGUCGCAUGGCAUUUAUGUCAAAGAUUUAUCGCUGAAAGAUGGCCUCGCGUCUGAUUAGCUAGUUGGUGAGGUAACGGCUCACCAAGGCGACGAUCAGUAGCCGGACUGAGAGGUUGGCCGGCCACAUUGGGACUGAGAUACGGCCCAGACUCCUACGGAAGGCAGCA